rnacentral:rRNA from 1 species
GACAGAGGGUGCAAACGUUGUUCGGAAUUACUGGGCGUAAAGCGCGUGUAGGCGGCCCUGCAAGUCGGGUGUGAAAUCCCACGGCUCAACCGUGGAAGUGCACUCGAAACUGGCAGGGCUAGAGUCCUGGAGAGGGAAGGUGGAAUGCUUGGUGUAGAGGUGAAAUUCGUAGAUAUCAAGCGGAACACCGGUGGCGAAGGCGGCCUUCUGGACAGUGACUGGACGCUGAGACGUG